AUGGCAGAAAAUUCAGAGAAGAAGAAUUGGCAUGAAGCACAUUUUGUGAUUGAAUCCCCUAUCACGGAGGCUGUCUACCUGGUGAUAAAUGGUGUGGGCCUGGUGCUGGACUUGCUGACCUUGGUGUUGGAUCUCAACUUCCUGCUCGUGUCCUCCCUCCUGGCUACCUUGGACUGGCUUUUGGCUUUCAUCUACAAUCUGCCACACAUGGUACUGACUAGUCUUCUGCACUUGGGUCGAGAAUUCCUGCUUUCUUUGGUGGCUGUCGUGGAAGCAGUGGUCUGAUUUACUUUCAGAGCUUGCAGGCCUUGUGUACUCUUCUCUAUAGCUGCUGCUCUGGCUUGGAGAGCUUAAAGCUACUGGGGUACCUGGCCUCUCAUGGAGUUCUGAGGAGCCUGGAAUUACUGAACAGGGGCAUCCUGAACAUAGUCUCCAAUGGUCAUGCUUUGCUGCGCCAGGCCUGUGACAUCUGUGCUAUUGCCAUGAGCCUGGUGGCCUAUGUGAUCAACAUUCUGGUCACCGUCUGCCUCAUUGACACUCAGAACUUCUCCCUGGUGCUGGCCCUGUGGGAUGCUGUGACAGGGCCUCUUUGGAGGAUGAGAGAUGUGGUGGCUGCUUUCCUUGCCCACAUUUCCAGCAGUGCUCUGGCCAUGGUCAUUCUCCUGUGGAUCCCCUGUCAACUAGUACUGGAGUUGUUGGCCUCCGCUGUCCUCCUCCUUGCCAGCUGUGUGCUUUUCCACCUCACUGGUUUGGUGUUGCUGGCUUUUGUACUAGCAGUGAUUUUGAUUGUGUUGCAUCCAGAACAAACCUUGAGGCUGGCCACCAGAGCUCUCAUUCAGCUUCACGCCCACCCAUCCUACCAGCAGCUUCCAGAGGAUAUUGUACGGCUGUUUCACCUUCUACUAGGUCUAGAGGCUUGGCGCAGAGUCUGGAGUCGAAGCCUACAACUGGCCAGCUGGCCAAAUCAGGGAGGAGCACUAGGAGCCCCCAAGGUGGCCCCAGGAGGGUGUUCUCAGCCAGGAUCCACAGGACACUGUUCCUGAAGCAAAAGAGGUCAUGAGAGCGGCAUCUACUAGAGGCUGUGAGAGACUCAAUGAGGAGGAGCCUACAUCUGGGCAAGACCCAUGGAAGUUGCUGAAGGAGCAAGAAGAGCGGAAGAAGUGUGUGAUUUGCCAGGACCAGAGCAAGACGGUACUGCUUCUGCCUUGCCAGCACCUGUGCCUGUGCCAGGCUUGCACCAAGAUCCUCAUGGGUCACCCUGUUUACCACCACAACUGCCCGCUCUGCCGCCACAGCAUCCUGCAGACCCUCAAUGUCUACCUCUGAAGACUCCCUCCCUGCCUGCCCAUCCUUUGCGCUCUACACACCAGGACAGCAUCAACAUUUUGCCUCUGGGUUCUGGCCUGAGUCGUCUGUGCCCUGAAAGUGACUCUGCCAAGCCUCAUGCCAUAUAUC